GGAUGAACGCUGGCGGCGUGCCUAAUACAUGCAAGUCGAGCGAACAGACGAGGAGCUUGCUCCUCUGACGUUAGCGGCGGACGGGGGAGUAACACGUGGAUAACCUACCUAUAAGACUGGGAUAACUUCGGGAAACCGGAGCUAAUACCGGAUAAUAUAUUUAACCGCAUGGUUCAAUAGUGAAAGACGGUUGUGCUGUCACUUAUAGAUGGAUCCGCGCCGCAUUAGCUAGUUGGUAAGGUAACGGCUUACCAAGGCAACGAUGCGUAGCCGACCUGAGAGGGUGAUCGGCCACACUGGAACUGAGACACGGUCCAGACUCCUACGGGAGGCAGCAGUAGGGAAUCUUCCGCAAUGGGCGAAAGCUUGACGGAGCAACGCCGCGUGAGUGAUGAAGGUCUUCGGAUCGUAAAACUCUGUUAUUAGGGAAGAACAAAUGUGUAAGUAACUAUGCACGUCUUGACGGUACCUAAUCAGAAAGCCACGGCUAACUACGUG
rnacentral:rRNA from 1 species